rnacentral:rRNA from 1 species
UACAGUAAACUAUGCCGACUAGGGAUCGGACGACCUCUUUUGAUGUGUCGUUCGGCACCUUACGAGAAAUCAAAGUCUUUGGGUUCUGGGGGAGUAUGGUCGCAAGGCUGAAACUUAAGGAAUUGACGAAGGGCACCACCAGGAGUAAACCUAACCGCAGUUAACUCUGCUCCGAACAGCGGCCCGAAAGGGUGAGGUGGUAUAAAUGCCUUGGAUGAAAGGUCCUAAACUCGCUAGUCCGCACGACGUGCGGGCGACAUCCUCAAAGUGCGGGAAACUCCUAAAGCUCAGAGAUACCAAGCCUCCGACCGAAAGGUGGAGGUGGCCGGGUUAAUUGCCUCGGGUAAGGUCACAACUCUCGGAGAUGCAACAAUGGACGAUCCGCAGCCAAUCCCUACGUCGUGAGAUAGGGGACAGGUUCAGAGACUAGAUGGGGAUGGGUCGUCGUCCAGACGGUCUAAGGUAUAGUCCGACCCCGUGCGAAAGCGCGGCGGAACAGAAAUGGGAGCCUGCGGCUUAAUUUGACUCAACACGG